CAGUCGCCGCGGUAAUACAGAGGAUGCAAGCGUUAUCCGGAAUGAUUGGGCGUAAAGCGUCUGUAGGUGGCUUUUCAAGUCCGCCGUCAAAUCCCAGGGCUCAACCCUGGACAGGCGGUGGAAACUACCAAGCUGGAGUACGGUAGGGGCAGAGGGAAUUUCCGGUGUAGCGGUGAAAUGCGUUGAGAUCGGAAAGAACACCAACGGCGAAAGCACUCUUCUGGGCCGACACUGACACUGAGAGACGAAAGCUAGGGGAGCAAAUGGGAUUAGAUACCCCCGUAGUCCCUGUCUCUUAUAA
rnacentral:rRNA from 1 species